rnacentral:rRNA from 1 species
UACGUAGGGUGCAAGCGUUGUCCGGAAUUAUUGGGCGUAAAGAGCUUGUAGGCGGUUUGUCGCGUCUGCUGUGAAAAUUUCGGGGCUCAACCCCCGAACUUGCAGUGGGUACGGGCAGGCUAGAGUUCGGUAGGGGAGACUGGAAUUCCUGGUGUAGCGGUGAAAUGCGCAGAUAUCGGGAGGAACACCAGUAGCGAAGGCGGCUCGCUGGGCCAUUCCUGACGCUGAGACGCGAAAAAGCUAGGGGG